rnacentral:rRNA from 1 species
UGAGGAAUCAGCCUCGGCUAACUCUGUGCCAGCAGCCGCGGUAAGACAGAGGAGGCAAGCGUUAUCCGGAAUUAUUGGGCGUAAAGCGUCCGUAGGUGGUCUAGCAAGUCUGGGGUUAAAGCCCGGAGCCCAACUCCGGAUCGGCCUUGGAAACUGCCAGACUCGAGUAAGGUAGGGGUUGCGGGAAUUCCCGGUGUAGCGGUGAAAUGCGUAGAUAUCGGGAAGAACACCAGCGGCGAAAGCGCGCAACUGGGCCAUUACUGACACUGAGGGACGAAAGCUAGGGGAGCGAAUGGGAUUAGAUACCCCAGUAGUCCUAGCCGUAAACGAUGGUGACUAGAUGUGGCUCGUAUUGACCCGAGCCGUGUCGUAGCUAACGCGAUAAGUCACCCGCCUGGGGAGUACGCACGCAAGUGUGAAACUCAAAGGAAUUGACGGGGGCCCGCACAAGCGGUGGAGCAUGUGGAUUAAUUCGAUGCAACGCGAAGAACCUUACCAGGGCUUGACAUCCUGCGAACCCCGCUGAAAGGUGGGGGUGCCUUCGGGAGCGCAGAGACAGGUGGUGCAUGGCUGUCGUCAGCUCGUGUCGUGAGGUGUUGGGUUAAGUCCCGCAACGAGCGCAACCCGCGUCCUUAGUUGCCAGCAUUUAGUUGGGCACUCUGGGGAGACUGCCGGUGACAAGCCGGAGGAAGGUGCGGAUGACGUCAAGUC